rnacentral:pre_miRNA from 1 species
AUGUAGGGCAAUCUAUCUUUAAGUAGGGGUAAAUUACUCUUUAAAAAAAAAAAAAAAGAAUCCUAGAUAGUUUUCCCUUCAAGUCAAGUGUCUUGU